ACAGGUUAUUUCCAGCUUCACCUGGAUUUAUGAACUUCAAAGUGUCUACCAAGCUAUCUUGGGUAAUUGAAACAUGGAACAGCCUGGAUUCAAAUCCUCUUACAUAGUCCCUACGCAGAAACUUGGGGUUUUGCAAGAUUUUGAAAAAUAAAGAUAACAUAUGUUUCUUGAAUGAUGCUCUCAAGUCCCUCCUAAUAUGUGAGUGGUUCCUUACCAAGGCAUAAAGAGUUGAUGCCUUCUUUUAAUCAUCCUACUUCUAAAAGGCUUAUCUGGAGUUUUGGGUAGGUAUGAUGGUGGAACUUACUUACCCUGCAUAUGUUGUCGAGUCAAACCCAGGACCAUACCGGAGGGAGUGCGCCAUACCCUUAGAUCAGAAUGUGCAAGUGUGUGGAAUUUUUGGUGGAAUCCUAUCACUACUUUUAUUUCAACAUUCCUUGCAUCAAGACUCUCUCUUGAAAUUAGAUGAAAAACUUGAGAGGAUAUGGGCUAUAACGCAAAUUAUGAUUUUUUUUUAUUUUUUUGGAUGGGUAUGAAUCUUUCCCCGUUUUGCCCUUUUGGCUUUUUCACAUAAUAAUUAUAUAUAUAGCCCAUUCCUAUGAUUCUGAUGAAAACGAAAGAGAGCUUUAUGAUAACAAAUGCAAGGAAUGUAUAUGAAUGCACAAUUCUUAGGGUGAGAUAUUGGCAUUUUUAUUUGGUGGAUAUAUGUGCGCAACCCUCAGUGUAAGAGUUGGCGAAAUUUUGGGUGGAUGGAGAAAGCAUGUUGUGCGUGACUUCUCAGUGUGAGAGUCGGCUUUUAUAUGGUGGGUGCAAGUGAAUUAUGAUGUUAGAGGCAUGAAACAUCUCUCGACAGCGGUCCAAAAAUUUGACUAAACUCAACACAGAGCAAGCAGCAUAUGUAGAAGGUUUAAUCAUGAACAAAUAUUUGGCCAUGGUAGGAAUAAAGCUUGACCAUUCAAGAAACUUGCUAUUGAAUUUUGCUUUUUAUAAAAGAAAACCCAAGUACUUUGCAAGAACCAGCAAGCAUCAUGUCAUCCUACUAUAUCACAUACAUCAAUUACUUAGAUAAAAUGGGGUCCCUAUAACAAGUGUUCAUAAAUCUCUAGGCAUAUUAGCUAAGAAUAAAAAGUAUACAAAAACAUAUUUGAACAUAGGUAGACAUAUUCGAUGGAGUACGAAGGUAACAUCAUUUUAAACAUUUCAUUUGAAAAUCUUUUUGGGGGGAAGAGGGUUUGCACAAACCGAGAUUUUUGAUUGAAUAGUCCUUCCCCCACACUUGUUUUCUUUCCUGUCAUGGUUAGUCACAAUAUAUAUAGAAAACAAGUGCACAAGAUAAACAAACUUUUUUUAUUGAUAACUUUGAAUAGGCACAUUACAUUGGAAGGGAAAAAAUAUUUGAAACAUAAAUAUUGUGAAAAGGAAAAAUGUGCCUAAACAAAGAUUCGUGCAGGAGGUGUG
rnacentral:lncRNA from 1 species